UGGGGAUGACGUCAAAUCAUCAUGCCCCUUAUGACCUGGGCUACACACGUGCUACAAUGGUUGGUACAACGAGUUGCGAGUCGGUGACGGCGAGCUAAUCUCUUAAAGCCAAUCUCAGUUCGGAUUGUAGGCUGCAACUCGCCUACAUGAAGUCGGAAUCGCUAGUAAUCGCGGAUCAGCACGCCGCGGUGAAUUACCGGUUCCCGGGCCUU
rnacentral:rRNA from 1 species